CCCUGGAGGCAUGUAAUGAUGGAGCUCGGAUCUCAUUGAGUUGGCACUCAUCUCUCAGAGCACAAAGGCUCUGUGGUGCUUUAGUGAAGUCCUCUGUGUGGCAACCCCUUAGCAGUCUCCUUUCUUCUCCUGGACUUACAAUUAGAGUCAAGACAGAACUCCUCCACAGGAGUCCCCUGGGUGAACUCGAACUUUUCACACAGAUCUGCAGAACAACUGUGUUCACUUUGGGGAAAGUAAAGGAAGCUUACAAGCCCGAAAUGGAAUCUCUUGUUUUAAUUUUAACAUUGGAACAUCACUAAAGCCGUUGGAUGUACCAACCCUGGGAUAUUUUUGAAAAAUGAAAUGAUUUUUGAUCUCAGAAGAAAUGUAAAUGUUUGGACCUGGAUUAAGUUGAGCCUCUGGGACACUGAGCUCCAUCAUCGUAUUUAAUGCCUGACAGAAUGUGACCACGUUUGAAUACCGGAUCUUAAGAGAAGUGACCUGGCUAUGGUGAGGUAGGUCCUAUUCUACUCUAAC
rnacentral:lncRNA from 1 species